GUGCCCACUGCAGAUCGUUCUCCGCCGCCAACCAGCCUCUCCAGUACGUACGAAAUCCUUCGCCGCCGCCCCCAUCACAGAUCUCCUGCCGCCGACUCUUCGUUGCCGCCGCCCACGGACGAAGUCGUUCGUUGCCGUCGCCGCCGUCCGAGGGGAGACGCCGCCGCCGCGUCUCCAGGGCAAGGCGGUUUGAAUCCCUGCCGCCGAACUCCGGGAGACGUCGUCACCCCCGUCCGACAGGAGACGCCGCGCCGCCUCCCCUCGGUGGUCGCGCUAUCCCCCCUCCCCCCACUUUGUCGUGCUACCCCAGCCCACUGCAGCACCAUGGUGGGAUCGAGAUCGGGGAUGAGAGACGCCUGGUGAUGUAUCAAAUUCUGUCAUGCAAAAUAAAGGAGCGCUGAGGAUGAUGGUUUUCAUGUUGCCUUGGAUCAUGCUGGUUCGGUAGUGGCCUCUAAUAUGUCAGAUAGUCCAUGUCGUUGGACGUCGUCGGUCUGGCGGAGAGCAUGUCCGCGGUCGAUCUGGAGGUCGUGUUCGGCUCCAUCGGCCGCGUCACCGGCUCCGAGUUCGUGCGCACUAGCGGCCGCAACUUCGUCUACAUUGCCACUGCCCCUCCCACAAGGUCAUGACGAAGUUGUUCUCCACCGUAAUCAUCAACAAUCUCAUUGUAACUAUGUUUCUACACCUCGGCAAUAAUUAAUAGUAGCAGAUUGGGGUUUUGUUGAUUUUCCACAUUAGCCAUGUGCAUUCUGUGGUUUGAAUGGAGAAGUUUGUGUUUGAGGCGAGUAGAGCUUUACCAGCUUAAUAACAGAGGGUGGUGUUUGCAGUUGCUGUGGGUGCUGAUUGUUCCCCAGUCUCAGUUUCUUGGAAUGGCGGUUCAAGAAGGGACAUCAUCGUGUGGCUUGCGUGACCAUAGGGCUCUUGACCAAGCCGAGCAAAUUAAUUUUCACAGCUCACCAGUAUUGCAAUUUUAUGGUGCGAGUGUCUCUUGACCAUAGGGCAUCUAAACCAUUGUGUUGAUUGCCAUGUUGUCAGUUGUCACUUUACAGUCCUAGAAGUUUUGCUUGAAAAUCUCAGAAUAUCAGAAUUCCAGCAUUUCAAAAGCUAAACAACACGAUGUUCCUAAAAAGAUGUUGUUUUGCUUGUAGAAUAUAAUUAGUUUUGAAUUAUUUUGUAGUGAAAAGGUCUGCACACAAGGUUUGUUGUGUAUUUUGUAGUUACCUCCAUUGAUUGUAUCGUAUUGAGUGCUGUAUGUAGUGAGUUGGGCGUGUGUGUCCUGUGGAGGCGCUGUGCACCUUCAGGGUCAAGAUGGCCAUCUGCUGUCGAGCUUCGCCGCCUCACGCAGCAGGACUGACUCUGAUGACAUGUUCAGAGCAGGUUCGAUCCAAUCUACCUUUUAUUUCCAUGGCCUUCCCACCUCCACCCCUAUUAUUGCUAUUUUACUUAGUGCGUGUUUUGAGAAGAUCAGGUUGCAUGUUGUUCUAUACUUCUUUACCUUUGAAAAGUUCUUACCUUGGUUUUUAUACAUAAUUUAGCAUGGGUAAACUAAUAAAAUUUAAUCACGGAGAAGGACAUGAGCUUGCACAGAGUUUUUAGUAGAUGACGACAUAAAUUGUGGCAUUGGUCGCAAUCUAGAAGUUUUUCAGGUGAGUGACAUGGUUUAAUUUGGAGAAGCACGAGCUAGGAUGCAGUCACAUAUUUUUUAAUGGUUCCUGCCUAUUCCUUGUGGUAUUAUCAGUAUUUUCUAAUUGAAUUGAAUUUCUAUGUGAUAACCUUCCAGAUCCAAAUCCUACUUCAGAAAGUGUAUAUGAGCAAAGGUCUGCACCUAAACGUUAUCAGAAGUGAGGUCUUAGACAAGGUAAUGUUUUUCUAUCUGAUGAACUAGACAAGGUAAUGUUCAAACUUGGAAGUGAUCAAAUCAUAUACUUUGGUAUGAAAGAGUGUAAACUAACUAUUACAUGUACAUCUUAGCUCUAGAUUUUCAGUUUGUGCUUGUCUAAUGUAGAAAAUGUUGUCCAACAAACACGGCCUGAAGGUCAAAAAAUAUCAUUCAUCCUUGUGUUGCAGUAAAAUAUAUCUCUUCAUUACAAAAAAUAGUCCAUUUAGAUUUCGGAGCAGUAUAUGCCGAGUAUCUAUACUCAUUUUUCUUUAAGAUAAUUUUAAGGGGUACUGCUUAAGUUCCACAUGCAAUGUGUUGUAGCAUAAUUUAUCUUAUUCUGUUAAUUACAAAACUAUCUCUGAAUAACUUAUAGAUAUAUCAAAAUCUCACAAAUUCGAAUAGACCAUCUAGUGUACUUCUCAAUUUUGGUAUUGGCGGUGACAUUGUUAUUCGAGAUUAUUUUGAUGUUAACUUUUUUUUGCCCUUUAAAUUUAAAAUACUUGAAACAUGAUCUGGGUGCUUCUUCUUGAUCUGGUCGGUGAGUGAGGAGGUAAGAAACAGGGACAUAGAGGCACAUUGGGCUUAGAAUUUAGGGAAAUAGAAACCAUCUAAAGUCUCUCUACCCUAAAAUAAAUCUGAACCUUAUAAUGAAGCUUGGUUUAGUAUUUUUUUUUCUCCAAGAAAGAUCAAGUAAUCUGAUAUCGAGCUUGUUCUUUUAGAGUAAUUGAAUUUUGAGUUUCUAAUGAUUGUUCAUGCCUAAUUGGCAAUAUAUAUUGACAACAAAUUAUUUUUGUUGUCGGACGAAGGGCAUGACCGAUGGCACCAGCGGGAGGUGAGUGCCGGUGGAGGUAAGUGAGAAAAGGAGUAGCGUGAGGCAGUAGACAGCCUUGAAAAGGAUGAAGGGCCUGCUGCUGGGGUUUGCUCCUAGUAGUGACGGGUACAAGUGUGUGGCUGCUCCAGUGCCGCCGCAUGCUCCAGUACAGCCCAAACAUGGAUGCAGGUGGAUGUGGGCACCGUGGCUGCCACCAAGGAUGUGGGGGUCGCGCCACAACUGGCAUGGACGCGGUGGGCGCGCCGAAACUGUCAAGGACACGGGAGCCACACUGCAACCUUAGUGAUUUCCCUAAUUUCUUUAGGUAUGUGAGGUCGAUUUAAUAUUCACAUAUAUGCUGAAAUUUGACACCGAAGAACCAGCAAUCGAGUUAUAUGAAAUUUCUUGCGUGAGCUAUACCCUUCUUUUUAGUACUGAGAAAUUCCCAUGAGUACCAAUGGUGAAAUUUUCAGGUCUAAAUACUCGAUGAGAUUCUCAUUUCUGGCAUUCUUCAUGAACCUAUCAAGGAGAACAUUUCAAUACUAAUUGCUGCAAAGGUGUUCUCAACACCGGCUAGCAAGAAUAGAGUAUGUUUUUUUAAUGCUCACUGUUGUAAGCUUGAUUCACAAGGAGCUUCUCAAUGUUGUACAUAUAGUUUGUGAGUAACAGAAAUAAAACC